rnacentral:tRNA from 3 species
GCGGCAGUGGUCCAGGGGUUAUGACUUGGGCUUCCCAAGCCCAAGACCCGGGUUCGAUUCCCGGCUGCCGCA